UACGGGAGGCAGCAGUGGGGAAUCUUCCGCAAUGGGCGCAAGCCUGACCCAGCAACGCCGCGUGAAGGAAGAAGGUCUUCGGAUUGUAAACUUCUUUUAUGAGGGACGAAGGACGUGACGGUACCUCAUGAAUAAGCCACGGCUAACUACGUGCCAGCAGCCGCGGUAAU
rnacentral:rRNA from 1 species